rnacentral:pre_miRNA from 1 species
UCCCCGUUUAAGAAGGUACUUAAAAAAGUACCUGGUAAUUUUUUGUACUAGGUACUUUUUUAAGUACCUUUUUAAGUACGGGGU